rnacentral:tRNA from 2 species
GCGGGCGUGGCGAAAUUGGCAUACGCGGCAGACUUAGGAUCUGUUGGUGGCAACACUGUGGGGGUUCGAGUCCCCCCGCCCGCACAA